rnacentral:rRNA from 1 species
GGACGGGUGAGGAAUACAUGGGAAUCUGCCCAGUCGUGGGGGAUAACGUAGGGAAACUUACGCUAAUACCGCAUGCGCCCUUCGGGGGAAAGCCGGGGACCUUCGGGCCUGGCGCGAUUGGAUGAGCCCAUGUCGGAUUAGCUAGUUGGCGAGGUAAAGGCUCACCAAGGCGACGAUCCGUAGCUGGUCUGAGAGGAUGAUCAGCCACACUGGAACUGAGACACGGUCCAGACUCCUACGGGAGGCAGCAGUAGGGAAUAUUGGACAAUGGGCGCAAGCCUGAUCCAGCCAUGCCGCGUGAGUGAAGAAGGCCCUCGGGUUGUAAAGCUCUUUUGUCCGGAAAGAAAAGCAUCGGGUUAAUACCCCGGUGUUCUGACGGUACCGGAAGAAUAAGCACCGGCUAACUUCGUGCCAGCAGCCGCGGUAAUACGAAGGGUGCAAGCGUUACUCGGAAUUACUGGGCGUAAAGCGUGCGUAGGUGGUUCGUUAAGUCCGAUGUGAAAGCCUGGGCUCAACCUGGGAAUGGCAUUGGAUACUGGCGGGCUAGAGUGCGGUAGAGGAUAGUGGAAUUCCUGGUGUAGCAGUGAAAUGCGUAGAGAUCAGGAGGAACAUCCGUGGCGAAGGCGACUGUCUGGACCAGCACUGACACUGAGGCACGAAAGCGUGGGGAGCAAACAGGAUUAG